ACGGAAGGCAGCAGUGGGGAAUAUUGCACAAUGGGCGCAAGCCUGAUGCAGCGAUGCCGCGUGAGUGAAGAAGGUUUUCGGAUUGUAAACCUCUGUCAUCGGGGACGAUAAUGACUGUACCCGAGAAGGAAGCUCCGGAUAACUACGUGCCAGCAGCCGCCGUAAUACGUAGGGAGCGAGCGUUAUCCGGAAUUACUGGGUGUAAAGGGAGUGUAGGCGGGAAUGUAAGUCAGAUGUGAAAUAUGCCGGCUCAACUGGCAGACUGCAUUUGAAACUGCGGUUCUUGAGUGCAGUAGAGGUAAGCGGAAUUCCUAGUGUAGCGGUGAAGUGCGUAGAUAUUAGGAGGAACACCAGUGGCGAAGGCGGCUUACUGGGCUUUAACUGACGCUGAGGCUCGAAAGCGUGGGAAGCAAACAGGAUUAGAUACCCUGGUA
rnacentral:rRNA from 1 species